rnacentral:lncRNA from 1 species
UGCCUCUGGGAUGUGUGAAAUCGACUUGCCGAAUAAAAGUACCGAAACCUAUGUAAUCUGUGAUUGGGGAUAGCGACUCUACAGUGAUUAUGUUAGCCGCUUUCGUUUGCGUGUCCGAGCCGGAAUGCCUCUGGGAUGUGUGAAAUCGACUUGCCGAAUAAAAGUACCGAAACCUAUGUAAUCUGUGAUUGGGGAUAGCGACUCUACAGUCGGAAUACCGCUGGGUUAGGGAAAGCAUCGUCUAGUCUC